UUUGCUGUUGAAUUGAAGGAAAGAAACAGUUUUACGAGGUAAAGCGAAUGAUUAGAGGCCUUGGGGAUGAAACAACCUUAACCUAUUCUCAAACUUUAAAUAUGUAAGACUCUGGGGUUUCUUAACUGAACUCUGGAAAUGAAUGAGAUCUUCUAGUGGGCCAUUUUUGGUAAGCAGAACUGGCGAUGCGGGAUGAACCG
rnacentral:ncRNA from 1 species